rnacentral:rRNA from 1 species
UUUGCCCCCAUAAAAGGUAUAGCCUGCCCAGUGACUCAGUUCAACGGCCGCGGUAUCCUAACCGUGCAAAGGUAGCGUAAUCACUUGUCCCCUAAAUAGAGACUUGUAUGAAAGGCACCACGAGGAUUAAGCUGUCUCCUUUCUCUAAUCAGUGAAACUAAUCUCCCCGUGAAGAAGCGGGGAUCACCUAAUAAGACGAGAAGACCCUAUGGAGCUUUAAACCUUAUAAUCAACCGCCCCACCUAAUAUACCCAGGUACACACGCUUAUGCAGUAAUGAUUAUACGUUUUUGGUUGGGGUGACCGCGGAGAAAAAACUAUCCCCCGCGAUGAAAGGACCCGCCUAAACAACAAGCUACAGCUUUAUGGAUCAACAAAUUGACACUUUUGACCCAAUAUAUUGAUUAACGAAC